GACAGAGGGUGCAAACGUUGUUCGGAAUUACUGGGCGUAAAGCGCGUGUAGGCGACUAAGUAAGUCGGGCGUGAAAUCCCACGGCUCAACCGUGGAAGUGCACUCGAAACUGCAUAGCUAGAGUCCUGGAGAGGAAGGUGGAAUGCUUGGUGUAGAGGUGAAAUUCGUAGAUAUCAAGCGGAACACCGGUGGCGAAGGCGGCCUUCUGGACAGUGACUGACGCUGAGACGCGAAAGCGUGGGGAGCAAACAGG
rnacentral:rRNA from 1 species